rnacentral:rRNA from 1 species
AGAGUUUGAUCAUGGCUCAGGAUGAACGCUAGCGGCAGGCUUAACACAUGCAAGUCGAGGGGUAUAGGUUUUCGGACCUAGAGACCGGCGCACGGGUGCGUAACGCGUAUGCAAUCUACCUUUUACAGAGGGAUAGCCCAGAGAAAUUUGGAUUAAUACCUCAUAGUAUUAUUGAAUGGCAUCAUUUAAUAAUUAAAGUCACAACGGUAAAAGAUGAGCAUGCGUCCCAUUAGCUAGUUGGUAAGGUAACGGCUUACCAAGGCAACGAUGGGUAGGGGUCCUGAGAGGGAGAUCCCCCACACUGGUACUGAGACACGGACCAGACUCCUACGGGAGGCAGCAGUGAGGAAUAUUGGUCAAUGGGCGCAAGCCUGAACCAGCCAUGCCGCGUGCAGGAUGACGGUCCUAUGGAUUGUAAACUGCUUUUGCACAGGAAGAAACACUCGGACGUGUCCGAGCUUGACGGUACUGUGAGAAUAAGGAUCGGCUAACUCCGUGCCAGCAGCCGCGGUAAUACGGAGGAUCCAAGCGUUAUCCGGAAUCAUUGGGUUUAAAGGGUCCGUAGGCGGUUUUGUAAGUCAGUGGUGAAAGCCCAUCGCUCAACGGUGGAACGGCCAUUGAUACUGCAAGACUUGAAUUAUUGGGAAGCAACUAGAAUAUGUAGUGUAGCGGUGAAAUGCUUAGAGAUUACAUGGAAUACCAAUUGCGAAGGCAGGUUGCUACCAAUACAUUGACGCUGAUGGACGAAAGCGUGGGGAGCGAACAGGAUUAGAUACCCUAGUAGUCC